AACGAACGCUGGCGGCGUGGAUAAGACAUGCAAGUCGAGCGAUCGUUAACGGGUAGCAAUAUUCGUUAGCGGGAGCGGCGCAAGGGUGCGUAACACGUGGGUAAUCUGCCGUGAAGUUUGGGAUAAUCCCGCGAAAGCGGGACUAAUACCGGAUGUGACCAUUGGGAGGCAUCUCCUGAUGGUUAAAGUUGGGGACCGCAAGGCCUGACGCUUUAUGAUGAACCCGCGGCCUAUCAGCUAGUUGGUGAGGUAACGGCUCACCAAGGCUAAGACGGGUAGCUGGUCUGAGAGGACGACCAGCCACACUGGAACUGAGACACGGUCCAGACACCUACGGGUGGCUG
rnacentral:rRNA from 1 species